CUCCCCCCAAGAGCAGCAGAACCUCCGCCUGAUAAUCAUUACGUUUUCUGUUCACUAACGUCGAGGAAAACAAUCCAAACCAUAUGAAUGUGGCAGUAUGCCCUAUGGGCUUUGAACGCACCACACAAGUGCCUGCAUCUGAUUGGUCGUGGCGCUGGCUGCCUGUAUAUAAAGGGCCCUCCCUCAUCUGGUUGACAUCACGUUCUCCUUCCGGUUCAGACCGUGGUGUUUAUUGGUGCCGCAUGCUAGGUAAGGCAGGCUUCAUCUCUCUCAAUCAAGCUUGUUACUUGUGAUUUAUUUACAUUUUCUGUAUAACAGCUGCAAAGUAAUGUGCGCGUGAACAAUGCACUUAAUGACGCUCUGAUCGCCACUCAAUCGUCCUUCUGGUAAGAAUCUUCCCACACUCGACAUUUUGUUAGCUUAGCUUUAGCUUAGCUUUUGUUACAUAUCCAGGCUGCCUGCACACGCUCCCAGUUCCUCCUCCCUGCUAGAGGCACUUCUUAAAGAAGCUCAAGUGCCGCUGCUGUUUGUCCUGGGCUGACUGUCUGUCCUUGGCUGGCUGUUUGCCUGCUGUUCUGGUUGCUCUGACUGGCCGUCCGUCUGCCAGCUGGAUAAUCUGUCGGUCACCUACCUGUCGUCCUGGUCGGCGUAAAUCUGGCUUCUAUCACUCGUCCAGUGUGGCUGCUUCGGGCUGAUUGGUAAUCAGCUCCCGCUGCCCGGAGUGGUGUCUGUUAUCACGGAUCGGUUCCUGCAAGGACGGACUUUCGAAAUCUGGACUAUUACUGCUUGAGGGUUGACUGAUAUUUUAUUGUUUGUAAUUUUAAACUGCCUUUCUUUUAUUUUUACAGGAACGGCCAGCUCGUGGUGUUGGUGGUGGACUUUCUGGGUGGUGGUACUCCUAAUUUGGUUUGGUGCACAUUUUUCUUUUUAUUUACUUUGUUCUUUUGCUGGGUUUUUAUUUUCUUUAGGACACUACCUUUGAAUUGCACUCCUCCCUGAGCGAGCCUGAACUGAUUUUUAAUGUGAGGUUUUAAUCUAGUAUUUUUGAAUUAUUAUCAGGACCAAAUAAACAAUCUUAAAAUUGUGAAA